UCAAAAGCUUCUCGAUGAUGUCCACAUGAGUCAUCAGCAUUCGCCUACAGCAAUAACGAACCAGACCUAUUGCAUCAGGCGCAUCUCUGCAUACAACAAGAAGUUAGCCCGAAAACCAAUCACAAACCGCUCGCCUAAGAGAAAGACAAAAAAGGCUGCAGGAAGAGGCUUUUUAGAAAUAUUGCACAAGCAAACACAGCACAAAAGCAAAGAACUGGAGCUCCAAGGCGGUUGGUGGUGUAGCAUGGGGGCCUCACUUCACCACAAGAAAAUUGUCCUCAUCAAGAUCAUAAUGCAAGAAAUUUCAUUGGAGUUGAUUGACUUUAGAAUAAAUUUUAACACACAGGAAUCAAUAUUUGACAGCUAAAAAUUUCAGUGGAAACUAACGAAAUUAUAUAUAUUUGCAUUUCCGGUUA